rnacentral:sRNA from 1 species
ACAGAGUUCAUGCCCGAAAGGGUAGACCUCCCACCCUUGUGUAUUUAUACUUUGUUGCUUUGGCGGGCCGCCGCAAGGCUACCGGCUUCGGCUGGUGCGUGCCCGCCAGAGGACCUUCAAACUCUGAAUAUUAGUGUCGUCUGAGUACUAUAUAAUAGUUAAAACUUUCAACAACGGAUCUCUUGGUUCUGGCAUCGAUGAAGAACGCAGCGAAAUGCGAUAAGUAAUGUGAAUUGCAGAAUUCAGUGAAUCAUCGAAUCUUUGAACGCACAUUGCGCCCCUUGGUAUUCCGGGGGGCAUGCCUGUUCGAGCGUCAUUUCAACCCUCAAGCUCUGCUUGGUAUUGGGCCCUGCCGGCAACGGCAGGCCUUAAAAACAGUGGCGGUGCCUUUAGGUCCUGAGCGUAGUACAUUUCUCGCUAUAGGUUCCUGAGGGUUACUAGCCAGCAACCCCAAUUUUUCUAUGGUUGACCUCGGAUCAGGUAGGGAUACCCGCUGAACUUAAG